rnacentral:rRNA from 1 species
UACGUAGGGUGCAAGCGUUAUCCGGAAUUAUUGGGCGUAAAGAGCUCGUAGGCGGUUUGUCGCGUCUGCUGUGAAAACUGGAGGCUCAACCUCCAGCCUGCAGUGGGUACGGGCAGACUAGAGUGCGGUAGGGGGAGACUGGAAUUCCUGGUGUAGCGGUGAAAUGCGCAGAUAUCAGGAGGAACACCGGUGGCGAAGGCGGGUCUCUGGGC